rnacentral:lncRNA from 1 species
AAAUCUCUGUAAGGAAAGUUGCAAACCAUAAAGUGUCGCCAAUGCAACUAAGGAAUGACAAGAGCACAAUUAUAUGGAGACAGUUUGACGCCCCCGAGCCAGAGAACUACUGGUAUCGUGUCUGUGAAGGGCCUACUGCCAAAGACAUCCAGAGGCCGUGGCACGCUUUGUGGGCAGUUUGAUGCCCCCGAGCCAGAGAACUACUGGUAUCGUGUCUGUGAAGGGCCUACUGCCAAAGACAUCCAGAGGCCGUGGCAUGCUUUGUGGAAAUCAAAGAGACUGAUGAAUAUAGUUACUGAGAUUAGUG